rnacentral:lncRNA from 1 species
CUAGAAGGCAUACUGUUAAAUCGUCCCUCCUGUUUGUUAAACAACCGCCAUCACAGGCUUCUACAAAAUGAGUUCUGGAGGCCAUGAUUUCCGUCGAAGCAACCAGUACCGAUCGAUUAUAUGUUAAUCGCGAUUCAAGCAAAUACACCAUUUCCAUCACCAAAAAAACCAGGUAAAUUUUUUAACUUUUGACUUAUAACUUAUCGAUUUGGAUGUUACAAAUGCAACUUACAAAUUCUAGAAGUGAAGGAAAGCUUUCCCAGUAUGUUAUUAGUCGAAGCUCUGUAAGUCCAUUAUCGUUUCUUCAUGUAAUUUAAUUAUUUAUUUGUUAUGCUUCGUAUCUAAAACAGUUGAAUAAGAUAUGUUAAUACUAUUUAAAUUGCUAAUGUGUAUUUAACCUACAUAAUGUUGGAUUAUCAAACAUUGAAGCCUCUUUGAAGCAAUCAUAUAGCUUUUAUGCUGGAUUUGAUGGCACUUCGGGGCUGUCACUACAAGAAACUGGAGCAUUAGCGAAGACAUAUAGCAUGUCGCCCCUAAUGCCAUAAAUUAUUGUAUCGAUAUUAUUGUUAUAGUUAUGUCAUUUUAUAAUUAUUUUUCGUUAUAUUAAUUUAUUGUAUAUUCGUCUAUCUUAAAAAAGAGCCCCCUCGUAAGGGUUUAUUUUUAUUGAGACUAAUAUCUCCACAUAGACCAAAAAAAAUAUAAAGUGAGAUCCACAUAAACAAAAAAAAAAUAAAAAUAUAAAGUGAGAUGCUUUUAGUACUGGUUU